rnacentral:misc_RNA from 1 species
GUGAAUCAUCAAAUUUUUGAACGCAUAUUGCACUCUCUGGUAUUCCGGAGAGUAUGCCUUUUUUAUUGUAAUUAAGAAGAAUCUUUAACCAAUUUUUUUGGUCAAAGGAUAUGAGUUCUUCGCGUUUAUAGCGGUAUCUUGAAAUAAAUGGUCAAGUCUCAUUUUAGUCGAGACGCGUAAUAAUAUUAUUUCACGAAGUCUGCAUUAUGUGACUAUCAAGUUUUUAUGCAUACAGAUUUGGUAUGUAUGCGAUCAAUACAAAUAUGUUGAACAUGACCUCAAAUCAGGUAGCAUUUCCCG